rnacentral:lncRNA from 1 species
CAAAGGGAUGUGAACUUUGAAGUUCCUAAAUCCAGACUAGCCAUUUAAUAGCUCCUUGGAGAAAAUAAUGCAAUCCCUCUGAUUUUCGUCUUCUCUACUAUUCAGAUUGACAAACAAAAAGAAAACUAAACUCUUAUUCAGGAAGGAAAAUGACCUUCAAAAACCAUCUGCCUAUGAUUUUUUUUUCCCUUAGGAAAAUAGAAAAAUACCUUUAGGGGCACCUGAGUGGCUCCAUCAGUGAAAUGUCUGCCUUGGACUCAGGUCACGAUCUCAGGAUGCUGGCAUUAAGCCCUGCAUCAGGCUCCCUGCUCAACAGAGUCUGCUUCUCCCUCUGCCUCUCCUUGCUGGCUUGUGCUUUCUCUCUCACUUACUCUGUCUCCCAAAUAAAUAAAAUCUUAAAAAAAAAAAAGAAAGAUGUCUUUAAAGUUUGUUCACUGUAUUUUUCAAUAUGCCUUGAUAGCCCACUGGAUGACCUCUCAUGCCUUGGGGCAAUGCCAAAAGAGGACAACAAAGACAAAAGAAUCAAGUUUCUCCAGAAAAAUAGGACACAUACAUACAUACACAGACACACAUAUAUAAAGAGAUUUAUUUUAAAGAAUUGGCUCAUGUAAUUAUGGGUUUGGCAAGUCUAAAGUGUUCAGGGAGGCAGACUGGAAAUUCUCACAAGAUUUGUUGUUGCAGUCUUUAGCACAAAGGCCAACUGAAGGCAGAAUUUCUUCCUCAUUGGGGAGCUCAGUCUUUUCACUUAAGGCCAUCAACUGAUUGGAUGAGGCCCACCCACAUUAGAGAGGCUCAUCUGUUUUAUGCAGUCUAUUGAAUUAAAGGUCAAUCACAUCUAAAAAAUAUUUUCAUAGCAACAGUUAGUUAGAGUGGUGCUUGACUGAAGAAGUCAGCACUACAGCCCAGACAAGUUGACAUGAAAAAAUAACAAUCACAAGAAGUGAUUUAUUCUGCCAAAAAGUUGGUAAGAAUUGGAAGUUCCUGGAGGCAACUAGGGAAAUUGGAAGUAGUUGUGGAAAAGACGUGCUAGAGGUAACAGGGGUCAAGAUGUUUUUGAAAUGGUCUUGAGAGAGGGAGUCCCUAUGCAACUUGAUAGAAAGUAAUCAGGAAUGAGAAGAAACCAGUGAGAUUUACCCAGUAUGAUGCCAGGCAAAGAGACUUUUAAGAAGAGUACGUCCAAAUAUUCUUUUAGAAAUCUCAUUCUAAGGUGUGUUCAAUGAAAUCCUUACUUGUUAAUCCCAGAUUUUCAGUAAACUCUUCAUAGCAGGUAUUUUGAGGUCACUUUGCAGAACCAGAGGAGAGAAAGUUGUCUCAAUAUUUGAGUUGUAUGAGAAAAAAAUCAACAGUGGGAAAUGAGACACAAGCAAGAUCCAGAAUCCAGCACUGGUAGGAAACCAGAGCAAGAACUGAAUAGAAAGUGAAGUCAUUUGAUCUCUGGUGGUAGAUAGUUGCUGUUUUAUGGAGAAAGGGGCAUUUUAAAUUUAAGAUUUUAGGACAUGUGGCCUCCGAAGACAAGAGCAUUUAAGGGCAUUCAGAGAGGUGCCAUCUGGUUACGGCAUUCUGCAGACUAGCUGUGAGGACUAUAAUAGGCAGCAUAUCUCCAGACACACAAACAAAAUUACAACACACAGCAGAGGCUCAGUAAACAGAGCCAGGCCCACAACAGAGGCUCAGUAAACUGCAGUAACUGAGUAUGGUGUUGCCUUCACCAUAGUUAUUAACAUGCAAUAGUUAUUUGUGAACACGUCUUGUCUGUCUUAUCUCUGUGAUCACUUUGCAAUUCCUAAAAUACAGACACUGUGUCUCAGCAGUCAAAUUCAUAAAGAUUCAUAGACACUUCCUCCUUGAAAGCACAGUGCAGAACACCUGGGAGACACUGAGAAGAUCCCACUGAUCUUAUCUCAAAUUAAUUCACAACCUAAAAGGGAAGAGAAAAAAGCACAUGGAUAAUUUCAGUGAGGGUUAUAAGAGCUACAAAGCAGCAUCUCGAACAGUGGCCCUUGAGUUUUUUGUCACACACAAAGCUUUCAUAUUUUUAUAUUUUUUCAAUUUGAUGCCAACAUUUAAAAAUCUGGAAGUUUUACCUAAAAAUCUGAAUUCCUUUAAAGAUCUCUUGGAAGGCUGAUAAGUAUCCCUACCUUAGUGCCAGUUUGGAAUGGUGCUUAAUAAUAUUUAAUGAAUUAAUGAAUAAAAAAAGAAUGCAUGCAUGACUGAAUAGAGUCACCAGUUCAUCAAAACCCUGUUUGCUUCAAGAAAGUAGAGGCUCUGUCUAACCUGUUUACUUCUCUACCCUCAGGACAUUAAAAUGUACUAUUGGCUUAACAGACUUUUGUUGAAUUAAUAAUGAGUCCUUUCAUGAAGAACAGUAAAUGAUCUGAAGAAUAUGGUGAUUUGAAAGUUCCUCUAGACUUCCAAGUGGGGAGUGCAGGAAUAGCCUCCUGCUCCUUUGACAAAAAAAAAAAAAAAAAAAAAAAAAAA